rnacentral:rRNA from 1 species
GACGAACGCUGGCGGCGUGCUUAACACAUGCAAGUCGAACGGAAAGGCGCUGCUUUUGUGGGGUGCUCGAGUGGCGAACGGGGGAGUAACACGUGAGUAACAUGCCCUUGUCUUUGGGAUAACAUCAGGAAACUGGGGCGAAUACCGGAUAGGAGCUCCUGAUGCACGGGGGGGGUUGGAAAGUGUCGGCGGUGGGGGAUGGACUAGCAGGUUACCCGCUUGUUGGUGGGGUAGUGGCUGACCAAGUCUUUGACGGGUAGCCGGCCUGAGAGGGUGACCGGCCACAAUGGGACUGAGAUACGGACCAGACUCCUACGGGAGGCAGCAGUGGGGAGUAUUGCACAAUGGGCGGAAGCCUGAUGCAGCAACGCCGCGUGCGGGAUGACGGCCUUCGGGUUGUAAACCGCUUUCGCCUGUGACGAAGCGUGAGUGACGGUAAUGGGUAAAGAAGCACCGGCUAACUACGUG